rnacentral:lncRNA from 1 species
CAGGGUUUAUCAGUAGAGAUGAACUAUGCAGGGCUCUGGGGAGCCUGAACUUCCAUCUCAGCGAUGAGCAGUUCACCGCUCUUGCUGUAUUCUUGGAUGUGGAACAUACAGAUGCCAUAAAUUACCAACAAUUCCUGGACUUCUUCCAUCACCAAAGACCAGUCAUUGAGACACCAAACCUCAAUAAAAAGGUUUCAGAACAGUUAAACCCAUUGCCAUCCACAGCAACGACAAUAAAGAAUGCUGUGGAACAGAUUCUUAAGGAGAAGCUCUCUGAGAACUAUGACAUGCUGAUCGAAUCUAUCACCAACACAACCCAAAACCAGAGUGACACCAUCCCCCCAGAAGACCUUAGGAGAUUGAUCCGACAACACGGACUACCGCUGUCUGAGCGCCACUUCAGCA